UCGCAUGUCGGCUUGAUCUACGUAGAUCUAAAAAAAAUGCGGGAGAAGAGACGCAGAGUUUUCGACUGAUGUUAAUGAUUAAGAACGUGCUGACGUCACAUUUGUUUGGACAAAAAAUUCCCGCAUUUUUGUAGAUCAAACCGUGAUGGGACAGCGCGGCACCACGUGAAAAAGCCAAAAAUCAAUAUUUUCCGAGAUAAUUUUUGAAAUUCUCGCCGACCGUGA
ensembl:ncRNA R06C1.11 ncRNA